GGUGGAAAAGUGGCGGGUUUUGGUGGUUUUUGGGGGGGUUUGAAGGGGUUGAGAAGAGCGGGAGAGCUCCAGGAGAUGCCGAGAGAAUUGGGAGAAAAUCCGGGAGUUUUGGGGAAAAAACUGGAAUUUUGGGGAAAAAAUGUGGAAAUUUGGGAAAAAGGAGCCAAAAAAUGGAGUUUAUGUGGAAAAGUUGGUGGUUUUUUGGGGGUUUUUGGGGGGUUUGAAGGGGUUAAGAAGAGCGGGAGAGGUCCGAGGGGUUUCUGGGUAAAAAUCCGGGAGUUUUGGGGAAAAAAAGCCGAAUUUUGGGGCAAAAAUGUGGAAAUUUGGG